UCUCUCUCUCUCUGUCUCUCCAACUCUCCGUUCUCAACGUCUCUCUUUCUCUCUGUCUAUCUGACUCUGAGACCGAGCUAGUUGAGCAGUAGGAGGAGAAUCGUUCGAAUCUCAGGUAAAGCACAGUCGCAGUCUCUCAACGUCUUUCUCUCUCUGUGUCUCUCCGACUCUCUCAUCACCUCAGCUCACCGACUCACUCACCAGUCACCUUCGCCUGCGAAAGAGGCAGCGUUUGGGCUGGGACGUUGCGCCUCAGGUCCCUAAGGCUACCUUCACUGACAUUCUGAAACAACUUGGUAUGCUCUCUUACAUUUUUCUUAUUUGUGUUAGGGUUAAAUCUCUCUCUUCUUUUUUUUUUUUGAUAAUGUAAAAUUGUUAGGGUUAAAUCUCAUGCUUUCAGAACAAGAGUAACUGUUUUAAUAAUGUAUACGAGCUUGGUUCUAUACUUCUAUGCUAUUAGACUACGAAGUCUCUGGUUAAAACUUUUGAUAGUGUUAUUCAGUAGCUUGGGCACUGUGUUGCAUUUUUGUAGUGGGUGUUAAAAUACCAGCUGUUGCUUUGUUAUUCCUAUAGUCCUUAUGGAUGAGCUUCUAUAGAAGACAAGGUCUGCUCUUUAUCGGUCUGGGCAUUGUUACUCUCGCUAACUUCUUGGUUACAACUACAACCAGCUAUCAGUAUUUGUUUUCUUGGUGUAUGUGCAAAGGGUGUCCAAGAAAAGGUGAUAUGACGAAAUUAAAGUCAAAAUUUAGAGACCUCUCUUAUGUGCACGAGUGAGAAACCCCGCGUGCAUUUGCAUGCUUGUGGUCAGAACUUUACUUAGGUGCAAAGAAGACUAACUCCAUCGAGAACCAAAAAGGAUUGGAUGUGAGCUUUGACUAUCUGAACUCAAGCUCAUUAUCCAUCCUUGAUGCUCACAUACGAGAAUGAUGAAACCCAACAGAAAAACCUACUUACCCCUUCGUUGUGCUUUAUUUGUAGUCUUUGUGUCCAAAUACUGUAAGAAAUCCUUCUCCUUGUUCCUCUUUCUGCAGCCGGGCGGUUCAAAAUGGAUCUUAGUUCCAGAAAGUCUUCAAUAAAGCUGAUGAUCCAGGACGAACUUACCAAACUAGCUGAUGAGGCAGAUGAUGGCGAUGCUGAGAAAGAUGAGACCCAACCCUCCAGUAAAGGUGUGAAGGCGUGACUGCCAAAAGUGAAACAAGACUAGAUGAAAAUGUAAUGGCCUUCAAUAGUCUUCCGGGAUCUUGUGAUCUAUUUUUGUAUACAGCAUGCUGUAAUUUAUGUUUAGGAGUUCUUUCACGUCACGUUGAACUUGUAUGUUUUAUGCUUUGUAGGUAUGGGUAACGUUGGGACUACGCAAGUUAAGUCGCAAAGGUUAUUCAUGACAGAUUUGGCAUUGUUGAAGCUCUCAUGACCACAGUACAUGCAAUUACUGCCACACAAAAGACUGUUGAUGGUCCAUCACAGAAGGACUGGAGAGGUGGAAGAGCUGCCUGUUUCAACAUUAUCCCCAGCAGUACCGGAGCUGCCAAGGUAUUUAUGCAAUGAUCUUCUGUUUUAUUGUAAUUAGUUGCUAGACGAAUUAUGGGUGUGCAUAUAUCUGUUAUUCAAAUGUAAACCAAUAUGUUUGGUGUUAUGGUUAAGUGGAUGAAAUAUAAAUGUUGGUCAGUUUUGUUUUCUUCCUUUCCCCAUCCCUGCAAGGCCCCUUGGAGUUCCAAAUGCUUUUCACUCCAGUUGAUUGAAUUCGUGCUCCUGUUUGUGCAUCUUGUCCACAAAUCAUGGUAUGGAUUGAUUUUUGCUUACUCAGAUCAUGCUAUUUGUUGGUAGUAUUGAUUGGAGUCUGGGGAUAUCUGUUAUUAUCACUUUAAGAUCUCUAUAUAAGUGAAUUUUGUGGCCAAGAUGUCUGAAAUUUUUUGAUUUUCCAUAGCAUUACGCAUUGCAGUGAAUUUUGUGGCCAAGAUUUCUGAAAUUUUUGAGUUUUCCCCAGCAUUACGUACUGUUACUUCAUGUACAUUUGAUAGUUUACAUAUUGUUGAGUUUGAGUUUCUGAUUGUUGUCCCUUCAGUGAAAGGAUAUUGUUGCUUUGGAUUAUUAUUCCUAUAGUAUUUCAGCUUAUGGUUUUCGAUUCUACAGAGGGGACUGUUUGUUUCCAUGACUAUUCCGUUUACUCCUUUUUGGACACAGAUUGAUUUCCGUUAUCUUCAUUACGGUUUUCGAAACUUGCGUUUUGGGAAUAACUUGAAAAUAACUGAGCUUUUAGAAAAUAUGUAGGCAAUGUUUCCAAGUUUGAAAUUAUUUUCAUGGAAAAAUGAUUUGGCCUUGAAAACUAUGAUUAUUUUCGUUUUAAUAUCUGAAAAAUGUGCUAUGGAACUGAUUUUUAAGACAAGCCUUAGAUUUGUUAAUCGGCACGGGCACGAGCACGACACGUUUGAAGGCGGCACACCACGCCACACGCACGGUCUAAUCUUGGCACGGCACGGCACACGAUUAAGUAAACGGGCCAACACGGCACGAUUCAAAAAAGGCAUGGCACGACAUGACGCGAUAAAAAAAAGCAUGGCACGACAUGACACGAUAAAAAAAGGCAUGGCACGACACGACACGACACGAUAAAAAAAGGCAUGGCACGACACGACACGACAAAAAGGAACGACACGAUACAACAAAAAAAUGCACGACAAGAUACGUCACGAUUAAUUAAUCAGGCACGUCAUGACACGACACGAAUUAAAAAAGGCACAGCCCGACAAAGUAAAAUGGCCCACAACGGAAUGCUUAAAGCACGGCACGAUGAAGUAAACGGGCACAGCAUGCCACGGCACGAUGAAGUAAAUGGGCAUGGCAUGGAAGUCGAAUGGCACGGCACGUUAGGCAUGUUGGACACCUCUACUAAUUUCAAAACGAAGUCUGAACGCCUCCAUCUUUUUUGGUUGGAAAAAUUAUUCAUUGCCCCCGAGAAAGGGGGCACUGAAUGAUCUCUUGUUUGGUUAGUUUUGUUAUUUUUGAGAUAAGUUUUUCGUACUCAAUUUUUUAUUUUUUAUUUGGAAUAAAUGGGGUGUAUUGCGAUGAUGAUAACUGUUAAUCCCAGCUCAUUAUGAGACCUCCUCUUUUGUGAGAAGGUUAGGGAAAAUACUCUAUCCUAACAUGUAUCUGAGCUUCGUACUUUUUUCUUUUUCUUUGAUUUUUAGAUUUAAUUUCUACUUGGUUCUUUAUUGAAAAAAAGAAAGAAAGAAAGAAAAGGGUUUUGAUGUUCCCUGUGAUGUUUAUGACCAUGCUAAUUCAGAUCAUUAUAUGAUCGAAUACUUCUUCAUCUUAUCUUCUGAGGGAACAUUCUUCUCCUUCUUUGAUUUCCUCAUUUUAUUUUACUAUAUUCGUUACUCCAUCCCUGUUCUUUUUGUUGGUAAUUCUUUUCGCUAUUACUAUGAAUGUUUUUGAGAUCAUUGAAUGUUUAAAUUUACGAGAAUUAGAAUCUAGGGGUAUGGUUCCGCUAACUUAAAUAUAUAAUAAGUGAUUGGCAAUAAUCAAGUCUUUUCUACUAAAUGGUAUUACCAUUUUAGCAGAUGUACGUGAGGAGCCUAGAAAUCAUUUGAAUAUGAAAUUUGGUCCAUUUAGUUUAGCGAAACACACCAUACAUAGAUUUUAGUUUUCGGAGGUGAGUUAGUUUCCGGACUGUGUUGGCAUUGGACGGUCCGGAUUUUAAUGAAACUUUUCUCCCAAAACUUUUUCAUUAAAAUUCGGACCGUCCAAUGUACUUUGGACGGGUACAAUUUACCUUUGAUAACCAUUAUUUAGCUCUGUGAAAUAAUUUUUCUUAAAAAAAGAGGUUUUUUUUUUUGAUCCGCCUUAAAAAAAGAAGUUAGAAAACAUGUUUCCGUAGAAAGUACUGGGCCACAAAAUAUGCAACCUUGGGUCAUGCCCAACCAUACCCAGUCUUGUUCCCAGUCCACGAGGCCUCCCUUUUUCAGGCCUCCCAAUAACCAUAUCAUGGGUAUAUACGUAAAAUCAUGUAGACAGCCCUCAAUAAACCCUAACUCUAGCCCAUCAAUCGCUUUAUUUAUACCCCAUGCCUCUUCUUCCUGUGCUUCACGAAGCCUUCUAAAUUUGCCCAAAUCUAACCUGCAGGUCUCUCUCUCUCUCUGUGGAUGCUCAUGUUAGUAUCUGUAUGUACAAGUCUGAGAGACGCUUUUCGUUGUAAUUUUCAAACAAAGCCUGAAAUGCUUCCAUCUUUUUUGGUUGGAAAAAUUAUUCAUUGCCCCCGAGCAAGGGGGCACUGAAUGAUCUCUUGUUUGGUUGUCAGUUUUGAUAUUUUUUUAUAUAAGUUUUUCGUACUCAAUUUUUGUUUUUUUUUGGAAUAAAGGGGGUGUAUUGCGAUGAUGAUAUCUGUUAAUCCCAGC